GCUCCAAUAGCGUAUAUUAAAGUUGUUGCAGUUAAAAAGCUCGUAGUUGGAUUUCUGGUGGGAGCGUCCGGUCUCACACUCAGUGCGGGAACUUGGAUGUCUCCGGCCAUCUUUGGGGAUAGCCUUCUUGGCAUUAAGUUGUCGGGUAGGGGAUACCAUCGUUUACUGUGAAAAAAUUAGAGUGUUUAAAGCAGGCUUAU
rnacentral:rRNA from 1 species